GAUGAACGCUGGCGGCGUGCCUAACACAUGCAAGUCGAGCGAACGGACGAGAAGCUUGCUUCUCUGAUGUUAGCGGCGGACGGGUGAGUAACACGUGGAUAACCUACCUAUAAGACGGGGAUAACUUCGGGAAACCGGAGCUAAUACCGGAUAAUAUUUUGAACCGCAUGGUUCAAAAGUGAAAGACGGUCUUGCUGUCACUAAUAGAUGGAUCCGCGCUGCAUUAGCUAGUUGGUAAGGUAACGGCUUACCAAGGCAACGAUGCAUAGCCGACCUGAGAGGGUGAUCGGCCACACUGGAACUGAGACACGGUCCAGACUCCUACGGGAGGCAGCAGUAGGGAAUCUUCCGCAAUGGGCGAAAGCCUGACGGAGCAACGCCGCGUGAGUGAUGAAGGUCUUCGGAUCGUAAAGCUCUGUUAUUAGGGAAGAACAUAUGUGUAAGUAACUGUGCACAUCUUGACGGUACCUAAUCAGAAAGCCCCGGCUAACUACGUG
rnacentral:rRNA from 1 species